AAGAACAGACGGAAAGUGAAUUCCCGAACAAGAUUGGCGAGGAGAAGAGCUCGACGGUGACGAAGAGUAGAAGUUGCUGGAUGUCGUGGAUCGUGGAGUAAGACGAUGGAGCCGGACGGGUUCGCUAUACCAACUUUUCCGCGAACCCCAGGAUUUCCCUGCUCACGAGCUGUGCCGGCCACCGGUAGAACGCUUCCGCUCGCACUCGCG
rnacentral:lncRNA from 1 species